rnacentral:rRNA from 1 species
CCUACGGGAGGCAGCAGUGGGGAAUAUUGCACAAUGGGGGAAACCCUGAUGCAGCGACGCCGCGUGAGUGAAGAAGUAUUUCGGUAUGUAAAGCUCUAUCAGCAGGGAAGAAAAUGACGGUACCUGACUAAGAAGCCCCGGCUAACUACGUGCCAGCAGCCGCGGUAAUACGUAGGGGGCAAGCGUUAUCCGGGUUUACUGGGUGUAAAGGGAUCGUAGGUGGCAUGGGAAGCCAGAAUUGAAAACCCGUGGCUCAACCCCGCGGAUUGCUUUUGUAAUUAUCAGGCUGGAGUGCUGGAGAGGUAAGCGGAAUUCCUAGUGUAGCGGUGAAAUGCGUAGAUAUUAGGAGGAACACCAGUGGCGAAGGCGGCUUACUGGACAGAAACUGACGCUGAGGCUCGAAAGCGUGGGGAGCAAACAGGAUUAGAUACCCGGGUAGUC